GUCAGUCCCCUGCAAAGGCAUCAGGAGGCAUGACAGACAGUGCUCUGGGCUUUCUUUUUGAGAAAGGAGAGAGAGGCUGUGUCACUGUAUUGACCAGCAGGAGGAUAUGAAGUCCAAGGUCAUCUUCAGCUAUAUAGAAUGUCUGAAGCUAUUCUGAACUACUUGAGUCCUCCUCAAACAGCAACCAGAGUCAAGGAACAAGACAUCUCUGGCUUCCAGGGACUGACCAUAGCCCAAGAGAGGAGAAACUUCAGACAGACAAAAGCACACCACACCACACAGGAAGAGGAUUCACCCCAUGCAACUCCUCUGAAGUUCAAGGCCACUCCCUUAGAUGCUGUGAUUUCCCCUCCUGAGACUAGGUAAUGAAUUGUUCCAGAAGAAAUGCCAGAGGCUGAGCCCCUAGGAAUAACACAGAGACCUGAAGUGCUCAGAAAAAGCCACACCUGUGCUAAGGUCCUGCAAGGCUGGUGACUGAUGAGAGCUUGCUGAUUGUGGUCCAUGGAGAUGACGGACACCAUCCCUUGGCAAACACACUUCUGCCCGUGCUGGUGGGAUGGGAUCUCGCCCGUCACUUUUGCUGAUGGCGUACCCACAUGAGUGCCUGAGUUUAGGAAGGUGAAGCCUGACUCCUCUCCAGCUUCUGCUGCCCCACUCCCUGGACACUUGUGUGCGAGCCAUGCCAGACUUAACACGGUGUGACGACUUCUCAUUUGGAGACAAGAUUUUAUCUACUGUGAAUAUUUAUUCUAGACCUAAUUAAACAAAGUAUCACUCCCACCCUCAUAAUUCCCUGACUUUACCCUUACCAAAGGAACACCCAGCAUUUCCUAGAUUGCUAAAGUGG